GACGAACGCUGGCGGCGUGCUUAACACAUGCAAGUCGAACGGAAAGGCCCUGCUUUUGUGGGGUGCUCGAGUGGCGAACGGGUGAGUAACACGUGAGUAACCUGCCCUUGACUUUGUGAUAACUUCAGGAAACUGGGGCUAAUACCGGAUAGGAGCUCCUGCUGCAUGGUGGGGGUUGGUAAGUUUCGGCGGUUGGGGCUGGACUCGCGGCUUAUCAGCUGGUUGGUGGGGUAGUGGCUUACCAAGGCUUUGACGGAUAGCCGGCCUGAGAGGGUGACCGGCCACAUUGGGACUGAGAUACGGCCCAGACUCCUACGGGAGGCAGCAGUGGGGAAUAUUGCACAAUGGGCGGAAGCCUGAUGCAGCAACGCCGCGUGCGGGAUGACGGCCUUCGGGUUGUAAACCGCUUUCGCCUGUGACGAAGCGUGAGUGACGGUAAUGGGUAAAGAAGCACCGGCUAACUACGUG
rnacentral:rRNA from 1 species